rnacentral:rRNA from 1 species
GUCGAGCGGAAACGAGUUAUCUGAACCUUCGGGGAACGAUAACGGCGUCGAGCGGCGGACGGGUGAGUAAUGCCUAGGAAAUUGCCCUGAUGUGGGGGAUAACCAUUGGAAACGAUGGCUAAUACCGCAUGAUGCCUACGGGCCAAAGAGGGGGACCUUCGGGCCUCUCGCGUCAGGAUAUGCCUAGGUGGGAUUAGCUAGUUGGUGAGGUAAGGGCUCACCAAGGCGACGAUCCCUAGCUGGUCUGAGAGGAUGAUCAGCCACACUGGAACUGAGACACGGUCCAGACUCCUACGGGAGGCAGCAGUGGGGAAUAUUGCACAAUGGGCGCAAGCCUGAUGCAGCCAUGCCGCGUGUAUGAAGAAGGCCUUCGGGUUGUAAAGUACUUUCAGUCGUGAGGAAGGCGUUGUCGUUAAUAGCGGCAUCAUUUGACGUUAGCGACAGAAGAAGCACCGGCUAACUCCGUGCCAGCAGCCGCGGUAAUACGGAGGGUGCGAGCGUUAAUCGGAAUUACUGGGCGUAAAGCGCAUGCAGGUGGUUUGUUAAGUCAGAUGUGAAAGCCCGGGGCUCAACCUCGGAAUAGCAUUUGAAACUGGCAGACUAGAGUACUGUAGAGGGGGGUAGAAUUUCAGUGUAGCGGUGAAAUGCGUAGAGAUCUGAAGGAAUACCGG